AAUAUUAAUAAAUAACAAUCACAUCUUCUAGAGCUUUGUUCUACCAAUUAGGUGCAUGAUUGGUUGGACUGUAAGUCUGACUUACAGCCUUAAUUUUUCUUAAAGCCUUGAUUAUGUACCAAUCGUGUUGUACCUUUAUUUUUAAACUUACAACCCAAAUUUUUUUUCCUUUUUUUAAUAUUGUAGUAGAAUUUUCUUGGCUGUAGAAAUUUUAAUUCAUUAGAUAAAUACAAAAAAU
rnacentral:sRNA from 1 species